GUCAAAAGACAUAUCCAUAUGUAUAUGUAUGUAUAUACUGAAAGUUGUAUUGCUAGAAAUAUCGCUCACUAAUUGACUAAUUCGUAUAAAAUUCCGUUUUAACUAAACUAUUUUCGUUGAAAUAUUGUAUUGUAUAAACAACAUCCAAGGCUAUCAAAUUGAAUUUACCUUUCCGCGUUCUUAACAAAUAAAAGACAUUAGACUGUCAGUGAUAACAUUACGCAAAAGCAAUAAAUACUAACCGGCUGAAAUAUUUGUGCUGUCAAUAUAACAGCUCCACAUUAUUUUUUUGUACAUAAAGAGCGAUCGCAAACACGCACCGGCUUGCCCAGCUGCCCCUGAUCGUUGAGUAGUGGCAGUGUGUGCUCCGAGCAUGUGUUACAGAAGAUCUCACCGCAGCUGCGACAAUGGUGUUUUCGACGCGUCAGGCCAAACUCUUUCUUGCAAGCCAUGCAAUGUGUGGCAAUUGAAUCUGGCGCCCAUAUACCAGCACUACCCACCUCCGAGGGUGACUGCAACGACAGAUCAGACGAUCGCAAUUGCUGUUGCCUUCUUUCGCGAUCCUCCAAUUCGGAAACCUUCAAUUUGUUAACGCUUAACUGUAUGCCCAACUCUUCGAGUGUGGUUUGUGCCUCCGUCCAUUGUGUGCGCAUUUUGUCGAGAUCUACUCGCAGCUUAGCAUUCUGUUGUACAUCGUCGGUGAGCGCUUUUAUGCAAUUUUGCUGUGAACUGAUUUUCUCUUUCAGCUUUACUUCCUUCUCUUGUAACGAAUGCCGCCACUCGCGUUCAAUACGCGCCUCAGCUUCAGCGCGUGCGGCUCGCUCCUCGGAUGCGGUCACCUGUGUGGACAAUGUUUGUGAGGUAUUCUUCAGUAUUUCCCCCAAAUUGCUUUUAUCAUUGUCCCAUCUGUGGGUUGAGAAAAUGAAGAAAAAUUGUGAAUACAAUUAAAAAGCUGUGCAAUUGUGCUGGCCAUAUCUUCCUUUUGACUCUCGAGCUUUGUGAGCAAUUCGGUUUUAUGUUUGAGCGAAGCAUCACACUCCUAAUUGCAUGAAAAUAGCAGAAAGGAAAGAUGCACUCGUGAAUUAAUAUUAGUUUUAAGUAAAUUUGUUUAUUUAUUGAUUUUAUUUUAAUUUUAAUUAAUACAUACAUAUUACUUAAAUUUAAUUUAAUUUUACUUUCAAUUUAUAUUUUAUAUAAUACAAUAUAAUGUGCAUUUAUAAGGUUUGCUAGAUAAUCUUAGUACAUAUGAUAUUUAGAGCGGUAAAUUUGGCAAAGUAAAUAACAAAUAACUUAUAUAAUAAAGACUAGUUCAAUAAACUGUUGCAAUUCUUCUGUUUAGAGUACUGUUUGAAGUCCUAAAGUGAAUCAAA